rnacentral:rRNA from 1 species
UGGAAAGCUUUAUUGCAGUUUUGGAUGGACUCGCGGCCUAUCAGCUUGUUGGCGGGGUAAUGGCCCACCAAGGCGACGACGGGUAGCCGGCCUGAGAGGGUGACCGGCCACACUGGGACUGAGACACGGCCCAGACUCCUACGGGAGGCAGCAGUGGGGAAUAUUGCACAAUGGGCGCAAGCCUGAUGCAGCGACGCCGCGUGAGGGAUGAAGGCCUUCGGGUUGUAAACCUCUUUCCAGUAGGGAAGAAGCGAAAGUGACGGUACCUGCAGAAGAAGCGCCGGCUAACUACGUGCCAGCAGCCGCGGUAAUACGUAGGGCGCAAGCGUUAUCCGGAAUUAUUGGGCGUAAAGAGCUCGUAGGCGGUUUGUCGCGUCUGCCGUGAAAGUCCGGGGCUUAACUCCGGAUCUGCGGUGGGUACGGGCAGACUAGAGUGCAGUAGGGGAGACUGGAAUUCCUGGUGUAGCGGUGAAAUGCGCAGAUAUCAGGAGGAACACCGAUGGCGAAGGCAGGUCUCUGGGCUGUAACUGACGCUGAGGAGCGAAAGCAUGGGGAGCGAACAGGAUUAGAUACCCUGGUAGUCCAUGCCGUAAACGUUGGGCACUAGGUGUGGGGGACAUUCCACGUUUUCCGCGCCGUAGCUAACGCAUUAAGUGCCCCGCCUGGGGAGUACGGCCGCAAGGCUAAAACUCAAAGGAAUUGACGGGGGCCCGCACAAGCGGCGGAGCAUGCGGAUUAAUUCGAUGCAACGCGAAGAACCUUACCAAGGCUUGACAUGAACCGGAAUGGCGCAGAGAUGUGUCAGCCACUUGUGGCCGGUUUACAGGUGGUGCAUGGUUGUCGUCAGCUCGUGUCGUGAGAUGUUGGGUUAAGUCCCGCAACGAGCGCAACCCUCGUUCCAUGUUGCCAGCGGGUUAUGCCGGGGACUCAUGGGAGACUGCCGGGGUCAACUCGGAGGAAGGUGGGGACGACGUCAAAUCAUCAUGCCCCUUAUGUCUUGGGCUUCACGCAUGCUACAAUGGCCGGUACAAAGGGUUGCGAUACUGUGAGGUGGAGCUAAUCCCAAAAAGCCGGUCUCAGUUCGGAUUGAGGUCUGCAACUCGACCUCAUGAAGUUGGAGUCGCUAGUAAUCGCAGAUCAGCAACGCUGCGGUGAAUACGUUCCCGGGCCUUGUACACACCGCCCGUCAAGUCACGAAAGUUGGUAACACCCGAAGCCGGUGGCCUAACCC